rnacentral:rRNA from 1 species
UACGGGGGGGGCAAGCGUUUGUUCGGAAUUACUGGGCGUAAAGGGCUCGUAGGUGGCCAACUAAGUCAGACGUGAAAUCCCUCGGCUUAACCGGGGAACUGCGUCUGAUACUGGAUGGCUUGAGUUCGGGAGAGGGAUGCGGAAUUCCAGGUGUAGCGGUGAAAUGCGUAGAUAUCUGGAGGAACACCGGUGGCGAAGGCGGCAUCCUGGACCGACACUGACGCUGAGGCGCGAAAGCUAGGGGAGCGAACGGG